rnacentral:tRNA from 1 species
GGAUUUAGCUCAGCGGUAGAGCGCUUGCCUAGUAAGCAUAAGGCCCUGGGUUCAGUCCCCAGCUCCG